CCUUUCGUUGCCUGACCGCCGCCAUCAUGGGUCGUAUGCAUGCUCCCGGGUGAGCUCGGGGCAUCAAGCCGGAUUGCUGGGCGCGGGGUGGAAGGAAGAGAGGGAGUGUGGGCAGCGGGCCGAGGGGAUGAUGUUCUGGGCUGGUCUGGCACGAGCCGCCAUCUCACCUCGAGACUGCUUCUCUCCCCAGGAAGGGCCUGUCCCAGUCGGCUUUACCCUAUCGACGCAGCGUCCCCACUUGGUUGAAGUUGACAUCUGACGACGUGAAGGAGCAGAUUUACAAACUGGCCAAGAAGGGCCUGACUCCUUCACAGAUCGGUGAGUGUUUGUGUCUAAUAUAGCCUCCUUCGCCUGUCCUCGUGUGACUUGUAGGAUUUAGUAGAUGGUAAAGUUAUUUUUAAAAUAGCCAAAACUAUGGUUUCGGCACCGUGCUAGAGGCAUCAUUGUAAGCACUUCACGUGUACUGAUUUCGUUUAAUUCUGACCACAAUACUUUGAAAUAAAUCUUCGUGGCUUUCUCCCCAGUUUAUAGUUGAGGAAACAGAGGCACAGUGCAGCUGGAUACUAACCAUCCCCAAAUCACACAGCUGUCAAGUGGAGGAGUUGGAAUUGGCUAAGCAGAGUGCCUGACACAGUUUCUCACAGUUAGGUGUGGUUUGAAUCUCAGGUGCGUGUGACUUCGUGCAAGUGGCUUCAUUCAGCAAAUGUUUGCCUUCUAUGUGCUGAACAUGGUUCUAGGGCCUGAGAAUAUACUAGCCUCCUACUCCUCCGCCCAAAA
rnacentral:sRNA from 1 species